AACGAACGCUGGCGGCACGCCUAACACAUGCAAGUCGAACGAGAAGCUACCUUCGGGUAGUGGACAGUGGCGGACGGGUGAGUAACACGUGGGAAUAUGCCUUUCGGUAGAGAACAACGCUUGGAAACGAGUGCUAAUACUCUAUACGCCCUCAGGGGGAAAGAUUUAUCGCCGAGAGAUUGGCCCGCGUUAGAUUAGCUAGUUGGUGAGGUAAUGGCUCACCAAGGCGACGAUCUAUAGCUGGUUUGAGAGGAUGAUCAGCCACACUGGGACUGAGACACGGCCCAG
rnacentral:rRNA from 1 species